rnacentral:rRNA from 1 species
GUCCUAGCCGUAAACGAUGGAUACUUGAUGUUAUAAUUUUAAAAUUUAUAGUAUCGAAGCUAACGCGUUAAGUAUCCCGCCUGGGAAGUAUGCUCGCAAGAGUGAAACUCAAAAGGAAUUGACGGGGGGCCCGCACAAGCGGUGGAGCAUGUGGUUUAAUUCGAAGCAACGCGAAGAACCUUACCAAGUCUUGACAUCCCAUUGCCGGGAGGGCAACGCCUCCUUUCCUUCGGGACGAUGGAGACAGGUGGUGCAUGGUUGUCGU